AUUGAGCGCUGGCGGCAGGCCUAACACAUGCAAGUCGAGCGGAUGAAGGGAGCUUGCUCCUGGAUUCAGCGGCGGACGGGUGAGUAAGGCCUAGGAAUCUGCCUGGUAGUGGGGGAUAACGUCCGGAAACGGGCGCUAAUACCGCAUACGUCCUGAGGGAGAAAGUGGGGGAUCUUCGGACCUCACGCUAUCAGAUGAGCCUAGGUCGGAUUAGCUAGUUGGUGGGGUAAAGGCCUACCAAGGCGACGAUCCGUAACUGGUCUGAGAGGAUGAUCAGUCACACUGGAACUGAGACACGGUCCAGACUCCUACGGGAGGCAGCAGUGGGGAAUAUUGGACAAUGGGCGAAAGCCUGAUCCAGCCAUGCCGCGUGUGUGAAGAAGGUCUUCGGAUUGUAAAGCACUUUAAGUUGGGAGGAAGGGCAGUAAGUUAAUACCUUGCUGUUUUGACGUUACCAACAGAAUAAGCACCGGCUAACUUCGUG
rnacentral:rRNA from 1 species